rnacentral:misc_RNA from 1 species
AAACCUUCAAGCUCUGCUUGGUGUUGGGUGUCUGUCCCGCCUCGGCGCGGACUCGCCUUAAAUUCAUUGGCGGCCGGUACAUUGGCUUCGAGCGCAGCAGAAACGCGAACUCGGAGACUUUGGAUCAGCUCCCAGAAGCUAUUUUCUAU